rfam:Cavia porcellus supercont2_108 genomic scaffold, whole genome shotgun sequence.
CAAAAGGCUCUUUUCAGAGCCCCACCGUUGUCAGCAAGAGAGCCGU